UACGUAGGGGGCAAGCGUUGUCCGGAUUUAUUGGGCGUAAAGAGCGUGUAGGCGGCCUGGUAGGUCAGCUGUGAAAACUCGAGGCUCAACCUCGAGACGUCGGUUGAAACCACCUGGCUAGAGUCCGGAAGAGGAGAGUGGAAUUCCCGGUGUAGCGGUGAAAUGCGCAGAUAUCGGGAGGAACAUCAGUGGCGAAGGCGGCUGCCUGGCCCAAUACUGACACUCAGGUGCGACAGCGUGGGGAGCAAACAGG
rnacentral:rRNA from 1 species